CCUCGACGAGAAGACUGCAACCACGACAUUAGUCCAGUGGAAACAAGACAGUUUUUCGAUGGAUGUACUGCGUUUGAAUCCAAUUCAUAGCGGAAGAAGUUCUCUGCUCCAUUUUCAGAACACCAAUCCCUGGGAGCCAAGAUGGACGGCCAGACGACACGAAUCAUAAAUAAACGACCAGGUCACCACAUUGGAUUGCACUUUCGUAAUGAAAUGCAGUCCCAGCAUCUUCUGAAACAGUAAUUGCACCUUAAAGAAAAUAUGUGAAGCCUAUAUAUAUAUGAGAAUAGUUAAUACAAGGUUUAACAUCUUGCAAUAAACUUAAUCUCGCUGACUGUA